UGAAGUUUUGUUGUUAUAUUUUAAAGAUGUUGAGAUGUUCUUUUGAUGAUGUGAGGAUGAUGUGUGAUUUUAUAUCCGUAAUUGAGUUUGAGUAUUUGAAUAAUUCGAGAUAAUUAUUUGAAUGAGAACGGUGAACUCGGAAGUGAGAUCUGAGUCCGUUAAGACGUUUUGAAAUUUUUGACUUUUUGACGAUGAAUAGUAAAAUACUGCUAUUUCGUCUUUUUGUCGACUUUCAAAAUCUUACGUGCACGUCGUCGAGAAAUAUUCUUAAUUUUUCGAUACGAGUCCAAUAAUGAAAGUUUUUAUUUUUGGACGACGAGUGAAUAGUAAAUCGGGAUUUCUCGAUAAACGAACCGAGCUCGUUUAUCAGAAUUUCGAGAACGAGCUUGCGUUUUCUAUAUUUAUAUAGAAUUACGAGUGUAAUGAAAGUGAGUAGGAGUUAAGAGGGUGAGUAACGAAGAAUGUGGGUAAUUAGUCGUUAAAACGAGACGAAACGGGAUAUUUAACGACUAACGGGUUAAUAUCUUAAAUAUCUAAGGCUACCCCACCAAAACCACCCCCCAAACCACCCAACACCCCUUUAUCUACCUCACUCACGGCUGAAUUCAGCCAACACACUCCAAUCAUCUUUGCUCUCUCACACACACAACACCCAAAACACCUACUUAUCACGCCAAAAACCAUUUUUAGCUUGGACGGAGGUUUCAAGCUCCGAUUUGAGCACCGAGACGAGCGCCGAUCAUCUUUUCGAUCACGUAUCUAAGUAGGUCCUUUUGGGAAGUAACGACUUGAGGGAGAGAGUGACGUUACUCAUUGAUACAGAGACACAACGAGGUUGAGCUGAUGUGAUGAUGGUGCUGCAAUGAGCGGAGUCUCCAGGGUUGUUAAUAAAUAGUUAACCUGUCUAGAAUAUGUCUUCAUACAUAUGUCUAGCUACUUUCCGCUGCAAGAUGUUGUUGAUGUUAUAGUAUGUUAUGUCAUACUUUGAGUCUUAAGAGAAUGGUUUCAUAUGAUGUAUAACUUGAUUAAUGAUAUUAAUUAAGUUUUAUGUUGUCUUUCAUAGACUGUUCAAAAGAGUAUUAAUGAGUAAAUACGACGAUUUUUCUUAAGUUGAGUAA